ACCGUUAACUCCUCGCGCCGCUCUUCCCUGAGGAGAAUGGGCGGGAAACGGGAUGUCGGGGCGUUCCCAUUAAAAAUAAAGAGAAAAAAAGAAGAAAAAAGCCUGAUUGUUCCGCAUUAAAAAGCCUCGAGAUCGUCUUCCCAUCCCCAAAGAGCGGCCUUUCCACAGUACAGCCGUUCAGCUCUCACAUGACGAGUUGAUGGUGAGCCUUGCAGUCUGUUGUGACCUCAAAAAGUGAACCCACAGUGUCACCUAGUGGCAACAAGAAGUCAAUGCCUGGCCUCCAAAUGUUUUGUCCAACUAAGGGAAGACAAGAGAGGAAGAAAAGAUCAUUAGAAUGACCUGAAAACCAUGGACAGUUUAUGCUGAUAAGGCCAAAUAGCAAUCCUACCAGGAGUGGUCCUAAGCAUCCUGACAACAAAUGAUUGAUAAGAGGGAGCACUUGUCCUCAUCUGCACAUCCUGCUCUUGUUGAGGCAGAAAAAUGAGUGCUUACCAUUGCCAUCCUCUGAAAGGCUGGAGUGGAAAGAUAGGCUGUUUUCACCUACAGAAACCUGCAAGAGAACAUUGAGCAAUAAGCACCUGUGAUCUUCAGGAGACCGAGAAUCGUGGCCCAGGUAACACACAGAGUGACAGCAUUCCUCUCAGACAGGAAGAGACUGGCCACACUAAGGGACACAUAAAGCUACUUUUUUGUUUCAUAAGGCCCAAGAUGGAGUCCAGCUGACUGUCAAGAACAUUCAGUGCUUGCUACAAGGCAGAUAUCCUCACAGUUACAGCUCUUGCAACAUUCAGAUCAUCUGCUGUUGUGUUCACACAAACACUGUAUUUUUGUUUUUCCCCAAACACCUGCAGCUUGUAUGUCUUUAUCUUAGUCAUUAGAAAGCCUCUUUGCUUCCUAGUUCUUACUGAGAAAAUCCUUGGCCACCAAGCAAUACGUGUUUACUGGAAACCUCAUGGCUCCCCCCAGCAUUUGGCAAAUCUGUGAUACUUAAGCAUUCAAAUACAGUGCUUUCCAAAACAAAAGAAAGCCCUAACGACAACAAAAAAAUCCCUGAAUUUCUACAGCUUUUCUAAGAGGUGGUUAUAAAUCAGUUUCAGACACUGAACACAUUACAGAUAAAGCACUUGAUGUAGAGUUGUUAAAUUUGGUACUAUUGCUAUCAAAGAGCUCUAAGUAGCUACACUGAGAAACUAAACUACUGUAACAAGAUUAAUGGCAGGUCAUCAUUAAUUCACUUUAAUGACUGAAUGGUCCAUUGCAGGCAGCUGGCAUUUGCAAAUUAACGAGGUAACAGAAGAAGUUACAUAAAUUAACACACAUUGUUCUACUGACGAACACUGGUGUACUGGGAAGUGCAUCAGCACAUUCUAUGGGUGUUGGAGUCACACUUAUCUGACUUCUAAAUCAGUCAUCGAUUCAGUGCAAGAAAUGAAAGUUAGCAUGUCUAUUUCACUCUCUUUUUGCCUGAAGGUUCCUAUUGCUGACAUUCAUACCAGUAGUUUUAAUUAGGCUUAUUUCCAAAUUUCAUCAUGCCAUUUCAAAUAGACAAUCCUGAUUCUCAAACAACACUCUUCAGGUUCUUUAUUGCACCUGGACUCUUCAACAAGUAACUCGCAACUAUUGCUGAGUAUGAUCACUUUUAUUCAAAUCUGCCAUACAACAGCAGAAAAGUAUUCUGAUUUCACAGGUGUUCUUUUAAUUAACUCACCUUUUAGCAGAAGCAGCCUCAACCAGUUAAACACAGAGCUGCUCAGCUGUCAGUAAGGAACAGCUGAAAGCAGCAAUUUGGCUCCUGGCCCAAGGAAGGCUGGAAAGCUCUAAAAGCCCUCCUGGCAUUAGGCUGCCACGUGUUCAGAAUGGCUUGAAUACACAGUACCCUGAUUAUUAUUCAGCUACUUUUAUCCCGUCUGCUAUCCCAGUUUAGUACACAAACGGUUGAGCACACUUUAUUAUCUCUGUAUUCAGAGAGUAAUUUAGCCCCAAUUUACAGCUGAAGCUCAAAAACGGGAGCAAACCCAGACUGGCGCACUCUGCUACCUUAACCAAGAUGCAGCCGCUAAAUAGAGAAGAAAUGGUGACAAAGUCUCUUAUGUGCAUCACACAAAGCUUUUCAUCUUUUAAGUUAUUUUAAAAAAUAAUAAUAAUAAUAAAAAACACACCUACUUAAGAAACACUAUUUUUGUUAAGGAAUAUGACACAGUAAAGUUUAGGUGACUUCACCGUACCAAAUACUAACAGCAAAGUCAAACCAAACCAACCCCAAAUCAGAGGUUUCAGUUCUCAUCAGCUGCAGAAGCCAUUAAAAAGUACGACAACCAAAGGUUCUGCCUCACUAACAACACGUCAUUAUUGAGAAGAUGGGAAAUCUGCAAGGAAACUUUAAGACUUAUCUCUAGACGUUCUUUACAACUUUAGAAGUCUUCAACUGAUGCCUGCUAGCUUAUAAUUCAGAUACAGUCUAGAUUAAUAAAGAAUUCUGCAGGUAUGCAGUCACCUGCUUAGAUUCAAUUUCUUAAUAGCACGUGGAACAAAACAGCUGACGCUCAGCAACUAGUUCCACUUAUAGUGAAGUCCUUGAUCUUCACCAGCGUGAACAUCUUACCUUCUCCCCAUCCUGAUAGGAAAUGCAGUCCUCAAAACUUGGUGGCAUAUUCUCCUUCUGCUCAGAUUUGUAAUUCUUGAGUUCACUCUCACUGGCUUGAAUCUCAUUCUAUAGAAUAAAGCACUUGAAAGUUGACAGGCUCUUUUCUCCUAGGAAAGUACUUGCUUUCCUUUUCUUUUUGUAAACUGUUUUCCUAGCAUAUACAGCAAUAACUAAGUGAAAGAAUAUAUCAUACACAUUUGCAAAGUGAUGGAUUUUAACGAGGAAAAGAGAUAGGGCUGUAAAAUUUUACUCGGGGAAGAUAAUGACAGCCCUUUUCUCUGACUGCAGAUUUCCUUUAAGAUCAACUCUUCCAUUUUUCUCCUGCUCACUCCACAUCUUCACUGUCCAGACAUGUUAACUUUUCAAGAUAAGCACUGAGUAGUUGAUAAAUACAACAUAAAGCAAAUACUACUUGUUUCUAUACUAGUAAAAAAGGGGGGACAAAAAAAACCCAAAAAAAAACUUAUUUACCAAGAUUUAUUUUCUUUACAAACUGUCUUAACGUUUACACAAAAGAAUCUUUCACACUUAAAUAAUAAUCCAGCAAAACCUCGUGUUUCAUUGCCGCAGGAUUCAAGAUAAUUGGGGAAAGCCUCAUGCCAUUCACAAGACAUCUGCUUUGUAACAUGGAAGACAGAUAACCAAAUGCCAGCAACAGCAGCUCACUGGAUUCUGUAAGCCAAUUGAGUCUAACAGAGUUUCCAAAAUUGAAACGAGACACGCUGAGAAAAUAAGUUUAUGGAGGAAUAGAAAUCAAUGCUGCUGAAAAAAAGCAAUAGAGACGUGGGGAUGAAAGUGCUCUACCAAACUGGAGAACGUACACAAGGACUGAAAAGCUUCAGGCAGUACUCAGUAAGUCAGUCCAGUGCAGCGCACUGUUUACAUUCCUGCUGUUGCAAAUUUGCAUGUCUCUGACCUGGCAAAACUGAUAAUUUAAACGCUACGGGGAUUAAAAAAUACUUCCACGUACAAAUAUUUAGGUAAUGACAAUUUAGGGAAAAACACUCCUCUCUGUCAGUGUCAGACUUGGCAAAGCCAGUAAGCAGCGCUGUGUUUUUGCAAGGAACUGACACUGCUUAUGUAGAGGGACUCCGCUUGAUUAAGGAAUAGCAGUUUGGAUUACUUCCAAUAAGCCCUUUCCAAAGGAUUACCAACAUUUAGCAAGAUGACUUGGUUCUGUAAUCAAGUUUCAAUGAGUGAAUAAAUUACCUUAACGAGACUGGUCAAAGCAAGCAGCUUCUCCUAGGACAGAGCACUUACAGAGCAGCAUCUCUGUUUGUGUAAAGUCCAGAACGUAAUUAUCCUUCCUCUGCUGACUCCAGAUAGUUUCUCUCAUUCAUUUAAAUAAAACAUUGCUACACUAUUAAUGCAAGUCUAGGUCACUUGGCUGCCCAGCUCCCACGCUAAGUGAGAAUCCUAUGCAGCUCAUGAUGAAGCUGCAAAGUCCCAUUUCUGAUGAAAUAAGAGUCCAUCAGCAGUAGCUGCCUACACUCCAACACUAUGCCCUCAGAAUCCGACUGUAGUCACACUUUCUGACAGCAGAAGGAACAGAUUAUAACUCUGAUCUUUCAAACGUCAGCAACUAAAAGAAGUUUUGCACAGCAUAUACUGAACCAGAACCACAGAGCAGUAUUAUUUCUGAGAAGCAAAGCAACUGUCAUUGAAGCAGUUAUUGUUCAGUAUCUCAGCUUUAACCUCCCCAUGCAGACAGCGUUCAGAAUCCUCACAGAACUCACCUGGAGAACCUCUCCAUGAGAGCUGAGGACUUGUUCUUGUUGACAAGAGAAAGCUCUUUGGCAGUGAUUUUCAAAGACUGCGAUGUCCAUUGUCUUCUAUUAAAUGGGGAGGGCUCCAUCUUUUCACCACGAACACCUACUUAAGAAGAAAGCAAAGUGUCAGCACAGGGAGAAAAGUAGAGUGAUUUGACAGUCACCAUUUGGAGUCAGUUCAUGAGCUGCUGAUCUACUCAUGCCACCAAGUGCUGAUCAUCCCAAAUCUUAUCCAUCCACUGACCAAAAAAUACCCCCCAGCAUCAGAUUCAAGUUAUAACUUCCUCUGCAGAUGCCGCUGAGAUGGUGUCCCUGAUAAAACACCAGCCACAAUGAAUGGGGCAAGCAAUAGGAUGUAAAGCAGAACCCAAGUAAGAAGCAGGCUGUGACUGAAAAGGAUGCUGAUGUGAAGCUUUACACACAGAGGCUCCAAGAAGCCCUGCUAUGCCCUCUCUUGUUCUGCUUUCUGAACCAAAUGCUCUGGCAUUUAUGUAAGAAGGCUUGAGUUAUGAAACCUAAGAGGAUGUAAUUCCUAUGCAAACAUUUUUCAUUCACUGGUGGUGUUCACUCUUCACGCAGCAGCCGUUUCCUCUGUGAGCCAACAUAAGUCUUCUGUUCACAGAGGCAGCUGUAAAUCUCUCGUCACAAUAGCCAGCAGUUACCUAAAGGAAUAGUUUGGAUUACUUCUGCCUUUCCGUAAACUGGAAGAAAUUUCAUACAGCUUUACACAACAUAAUUCAACAAGUCAGUAUUGGAUACGUAUAUAUAUUUUAACAGUUUUCUUUUGUGGAGGAGGAAAGGAGGGGAGAUUAAUUUAAACAGUUCCUUGAUAAGACAAAAAUAAAGCUUGUGAGGCAACGCCUUUCCUUUUCUCCUAUUUUCUUUUACCCCAGCCUCGUGUCACACAAUGCCUGCAGCAAGUGCACUGCCUGAUCCUGCAGCACUGACAUCAGGCAGCCUGAUCUCCUUCCUGUUUUUUCCAUCAGUUUUUUAGCUGACCAUUAAGUUACAGGACUCCAGAAGUCUGAGUCUUUUAAAAUGCACCUUAAGAACUUGAUAGAAACAGUAAAACGUAAGGACAUUGAAUGCAGUUCCUCAAAAACAUCGAAGAUUUGGGAAUGCAGAUUCAGUCCAAUAAACUCAGCUGCAGCAAUUGGAAUCUCAUUGAUCUCAUGUGAAGUUGGGGCAGAAGAACCUGAAUCAAUGCUGACAGGUGAGAAUGGGUCUGCAAGGCACCGGCUUGUUGCUGGAAGCAGAGGAACCUCUUCAGUGCUGCACCCUGCUGCUGUGCAGAGAUAAAACACGCAGCUGAUGAGCACCUUGCUGCCCGGGUGGGUAACAUCAGAAAGAAUGGGACUUUCUUUGAGAUCCCUUCAUUCACCUGAUGUAAUGGGAUGGAAUGACACACCAAGCCAGCACACGUUCUUCGAGAUCGUGAUUUAGAUGGUGCUUUUAGACGUGUACAGGUUGGACUAUCACGGCAAACCAGAAAAGUUACACUAUUUUAGUCGUGGUGUUGAAACACACUGAAACUACUUAUCAGCAUUACGCUUCCAGUCGCAGCUUGCUGCAGCUUCAGGCUUUCAUCUCCCACUGAAGGCAGUCUCUAAAGUGCAUCCAUCGCCCCUUCCAACAAGAGAAGCUCACACUGAAGACAGAAAACAUUUUGCAUCCCUAAAGCACCUCUUCUGUUACCCUGAGGAGUUCCAUUAGGACUAAACUCCAAUAAGGAUUGCUCUCUGGUUUGCAGGCUUAUAACAGCUGUCACACAAAUGAUCAUCCACAAAGAUAAUGGCUCUAAUUCCAAUAGAGGGGUGCUCACCAGCCCCUCCCUAUUGAACAAGCAUGCCUUACAUGCAAAUAAACCAGCAUUUCUGUGAUGAUAAGACACAGCCCCUGCUAUCCAUGUAGCAAACACUUAAGAGCACGGAUUCCAUGAAGGCAUGGAAUACAUCCGCGGAGCCUGCAGAUUAAAUUCACUCCUGAAAAACGCAUCUGCUGAAAGAGACAAAACUCGGAGCCAGCUGUCUAAAGCUACAGCUUCAACUUCUGCUUGGCCAUUAAUCCGGAGCCAAGAGAAGAUCAAGCGAAGCAGUUUAAAUCACCAUUCUCCAAACAGGAGUCGCUUCUGCAAAGGAAACAGUAGCAGAGCGCUCAUUAGAAGCCUCUGUUGGCAGACAGCAGCUCAAUGACUGAUGUGCACCUUACACGGAAGGACAGUAAAACAAAAUCUAGUUCAAUUGUGCAGAAAAUGGGCCUUAAUUUGAUCCCUAAACACGGGAACCUUCAGCAAUCACUGUUUGCAGAUGAAUUUUGCCACCAUUGUGUUACACUCGGGUUUCCUCACCAUUUGUUGCCUUACAGCCACAGGUGCACAGGGACAAUCAGCUCCGCUUUGACAAUCUCUGUACAUGGGAAGUAAAGGAGAAUAAAGACCCAGCUGCUGGGAAGGGACACGAAGCAGGACAUCGAGAUGCCCAGAAAUCUCCGAGCCCUCCACGGCGGGGACCCCUACGCGACCACCACCCCGACCCCGACCCCGACCCCGACCAGGACCAGGACCAGGACCAGGACCAGGACCAGGACCCCGACCCCCGCUGUCAGCCCCGCACCGUGCACUGCGCCCCCUCCGGCCCGAAGGUCCGUUCGCCCCCUCCCUCGUCACGCACCUGC